rnacentral:rRNA from 1 species
CAAUAGCGUAUAUUAAAGUUGUUGCGGUUAAAAAGCUCGUAGUUGGAUUUCUGCCGAGGACGACCGGUCCGCCCUCUGGGUGUGUAUCUGGUUUGGCCUGGGCAUCUUCUUGGAGAACGUAGCUGCACUUGACUGUGUGGUGCGGUGUCCAGGACUUUUACUUUGAGGAAAUUAGAGUGUUUCAAGCAGGCACACGCCUUGAAUACAUUAGCAUGGAAUAAUAAGAUAGGACCUCGGUUCUAUUUUGUUGGUUUCUAGAGCUGAGGUAAUGAUUAAUAGGGAUAGUUGGGGGCAUUCGUAUUUAACUGACAGAGGUGAAAUUCUUGGAUUUGUUAAAGACGGACUACUGCGAAAGCAUUUGCCAAGGAUGUUUUCAUUGA